rnacentral:rRNA from 1 species
AUUGAACGCUGGCGGCAUGCUCUACACAUGCAAGUCGAACGGUAACAGGCCGCAAGGUGCUGACGAGUGGCGAACGGGUGAGUAAUGCAUCGGAACGUGCCCAGUCGUGGGGGAUAACGCAGCGAAAGCUGUGCUAAUACCGCAUACGAUCUAUGGAUGAAAGCGGGGGACCGUAAGGCCUCGCGCGAUUGGAGCGGCCGAUGUCAGAUUAGGUAGUUGGUGGGGUAAAGGCUCACCAAGCCGACGAUCUGUAGCUGGUCCGAGAAGACGAACAGCAACGCUGGGACUGGGACACGGCCCAGACUCCUACGGGAGGCAGUAGUGGGGAAUUUUGGACAAUGGGCGCAAGCCUGAUCCAGCAAUGCCGCGUGCAGGAAGAAGGCCUUCGGGUUGUAAACUGCUUUUGUACGGAACGAAAAGGCUCUGGUUAAUACCUGGGGCUCAUGACGGUACCGUAAGAAUAAGCACCGGCUAACUACGUGCCAGCAGCCGCCGUAA